CUCUCUCCUCUAUCUCCUCCUCUCAUCACUUCUCUGUUUCCUGAGAGAAAGACUGGGCUCUCUCCUCUAUCUCCUCCUCUCAUCACUUCUCUGUUUCCUGAGAGAAAGACAGGGCUCUCUCCUCUAUCUCCUCCUCUCAUCACUUCUCUGUUUCCUGAGAGAAAGACUGGGCUCUCUCCUCUAUCUCCUCCUCUCAUCACUCCCCUGUUUCCUGAGAGAAAGACUGGGCUCUCUCCUCUAUCUCCUCCUCUCAUCACUUCUCUGUUUCCUGAGAGAAAGACAGGGCUCUCUCCUCUAUCUCCUCCUCUCAUCACUUCUCUGUUUCCUGAGAGAAAGAGUGGGCUCUCUCCUCUAUCUCCUCAUCUCAUCACUCCUCUGUUUCCUGAGAGAAAGACUGGGCUCUCUCCUCUAUCUCCUCCUCUCAUCACUUCUCUGUUUCCUGAGAGAAAGACAGGGCUCUCUCCUCUAUCUCCUCCUCUCAUCACUUCUCUGUUUCCUGAGAGAAAGAGUGGGCUCUCUCCUCUAACUCCUCCUCUCAUCACUUCUCUGUUUCCUGAGAGAAAGACUGGGCUCUCUCCUCUAUCUCCUCCUCUCAUCACUCCUCUGUUUCCUGAGAGAAAGACUGGGCUCUCUCCUCUAUCUCCUCCUCUCAUCACUUCUCUGUUUCCUGAGAGAAAGACUGGGCUCUCUCCUCUAUCUCCUCCUCUCAUCACUUCUCUGUUUCCUGAGAGAAAGACUGGGCUCUCUCCUCUAUCUCCUCCUCUCAUCACUCCUCUGUUUCCUGAGAGAAAGACUGGGCUCUCUCCUCUAUCUCCUCCUCUCAUCACUCCUCUGUUUCCUGAGAGAAAGACAGGGCUCUCUCCUCUAUCUCCUCCUCUCAUCACUUCUCUGUUUCCUGAGAGAAAGACUGGGCUCUCUCCUCUAUCUCCUCCUCUCAUCACUUCUCUGUUUCCUGAGAGAAAGACUGGGCUCUCUCCUCUAUCUCCUCCUCUCAUCACUUCUCUGUUUCCUGAGAGAAAGACUGGGCUCUCUCCUCUAACUCCUCCUCUCAUCACUCCUCUGUUUCCUGAGAGAAAGACUGGGCUCUCUCCUCUAUCUCCUCCUCUCAUCACUUCUCUGUUUCCUGAGAGAAAGACUGGGCUCUCUCCUCUAUCUCCUCCUCUCAUCACUUCUCUGUUCUCUUUACUUCUCAUACAG
rnacentral:lncRNA from 8 species